ACUGCUCCAGGCUCUCUGGCACA
rnacentral:miRNA from 1 species